UCACCGGCCUGGCCGCCUGGAAGGCGGCGACGUUCCCGACGCCGCUCGCCUGGGGGGCGUCGUUCGACCCCGAGCUGGUGGCC
rnacentral:tRNA from 1 species